rnacentral:rRNA from 1 species
GGGUGUGAUCAUACCAGCGUUAAUUCACCAGAUCCCAUCAGUACUCCGCAGUUAAGCGCGCUUGGGCUAGAGUAGUACUGGGAGGGGUGACCUCCCGGGAAGUCCUAGUGUUGCACCCU